rnacentral:rRNA from 1 species
UGGGGGAUAACGUUCCGAAAGGAACGCUAAUACCGCAUACGUCCUACGGGAGAAAGCAGGGGACCUUCGGGCCUUGCGCUAUCAGAUGAGCCUAGGUCGGAUUAGCUAGUUGGUGAGGUAAUGGCUCACCAAGGCGACGAUCCGUAACUGGUCUGAGAGGAUGAUCAGUCACACUGGAACUGAGACACGGUCCAGACUCCUACGGGAGGCAGCAGUGGGGAAUAUUGGACAAUGGGCGAAAGCCUGAUCCAGCCAUGCCGCGUGUGUGAAGAAGGUCUUCGGAUUGUAAAGCACUUUAAGUUGGGAGGAAGGGCAUUAACCUAAUACGUUAGUGUUUUGACGUUACCGACAGAAUAAGCACCGGCUAACUUCGUGCCAGCAGCCGCGGUAAUACGAAGGGUGCAAGCGUUAAUCGGAAUUACUGGGCGUAAAGCGCGCGUAGGUGGUUCGUUAAGUUGGAUGUGAAAGCCCCGGGCUCAACCUGGGAACUGCAUCCAAAACUGGCGAGCUAGAGUACGGUAGAGGGUGGUGGAAUUUCCUGUGUAGCGGUGAAAUGCGUAGAUAUAGG